AAAGUAGGCCAGACAGCCGCGGCUGCCGCGCAUCGCGCGGGGGGCGAGGAAAGUCCGGACUCCAUAGGGCAGGGUGAUGGCUAACGGCCAUCCGUGGCGACACGCGGAACAGGGCAACAGAAAGCAAACCGCCGAUGGCCCGGCGCAAGCCGGGAUCAGGUAAGGGUGAAACGGUGCGGUAAGAGCGCACCGCGGCUGCGGCGACGCAGUCCGGCACGGUAACCUCCACCCGGAGCAAUUCCAAAUAGGCAGGCGCGCGUCGGCAGCAAGGCGCAAGGACGGGCCCCGUCCUGACCUGCGGGUAGGAAGCUUGAGCGCGUCAGCAAUGGCGCGCCUAGAGGAAUGGCUGUCACGCGCGCCGGGCAACUGGCGCACGCACAGAAUCCGGCUUACCGGCCUGCUUUGUCU
rfam:Burkholderia rhizoxinica HKI 454, complete genome